UACGUAGGGUGCAAGCGUUAAUCGGAAUUACUGGGCGUAAAGCGUGCGCAGGCGGUUAUGUAAGACAGAUGUGAAAUCCCCGGGCUCAACCUGGGAACUGCAUUGUGACUGCAUAGCUAGAGUACGGUAGAGGGGGAUGGAAUUCCGCGUGUAGCAGUGAAAUGCGUAGAUAUGCGGAGGAACACCGAUGGCGAAGGCAAUCCCCUGGACCUGUACUGACGCUCAUGCACGAAAGCGUGGGGAGCAAACAGG
rnacentral:rRNA from 1 species